CUUAAUGGAAAUUUUUUAAGUUAAAAAUUGAAAAAGGGGAUUUGAGUAAAUUGUAAAGAGCAUUACGACGAGCCCUUUUUGGAUUGCGAACUAAUUAGGGUUCUAGAGGAUGAGAUUGGACUCACUGGGAUUGACGUCGGUGCUGAUGAGCUCCAAGACGACGUUGCGGCCGAUCAUGUCGGCGAGGGCAUCGAGGUGGCCGGUAAUGGCAUCCUUGAAGUCCUCCUUGCUCUUCCUCUGGAGGAUGAGAUUGGACUCACUAGGAUCGACGUCGAUGCUUAUAAGCUCCAAAGCGACGUUGCGGCCGAUCAUGUCGGCGAGGGCAUCGAGGUGGCCGGCAAUGGCAUCCUUGAAGUCCUCCUUGCUCUUCCUCCGCACCGUCGGCGCCGGCGAAACAGCGCCGCCUGCGCCUUUGUCUUCGCCGGCGUCGCCUUCUUCUUCACCGCCACCUUCACCGCCGCCUCCUCGCUGAUCGCCGCCACAACCACGCCCGGAUUCGUGCUCCUCCUCCUCGUCCUCUGAUGUUGAUGAUGAUGAUGAUUCGGAUUCAGCACGCCGGGACGGAGAAGCCGAUCGCGACCGAUCGGCUUUAGGGAAAAGCGCUUCUGGGAGCCUGAUGUAGAGAUUGGUGACGUCGAGCGAGAGCUGGGCGUGCUAGAGGGGAUUCUCGGCGAGCCACACGGCACGGUCGUCGCGGCUCCGCCGGAACCCUAGAUGCGGCCGCCGAGAGGUCCUCCGCCGGAGACGACGAUGCCGCC
rnacentral:lncRNA from 1 species